rnacentral:rRNA from 1 species
AAUAUUUGACAAUGGGCGAAAGACUGAUCCAGCCAUGCCGCGUGUGUGAAGAAGGUCNNNGGAUUNUCAAGCCCUCUAUGGUGNGGGNAGAGAUUGUAGAUUAAUACUCUGCAAUGUUGACGUUACCGACAGAAUAAGCACCGGCGAACUUCGUGCCAGCAGCGGCGGUAAUACGAAGGGGGCGAGCAUUAAUCGGAAUUACUGGGCGUAAAGCGAGCGUAGGUUGUUCGUUAAGUUGGAUGUGAAAGCCCCGGGCGCAACCUGGGAACUGCAUCCAAAACUGGCGAGCUAGAGUACGGUAGAGGGUGGUGGAAUUUCCUGUGUAGCGGUGAAAUGCGUAGAUAUAGGAAGGAACACAAGUGGCGAAGGCGAGCACCUGGACUGAUACUGACACUGAGGUGCGAGAGAGUGGGGAGCAAACAGG